GGGGCGGCGUGACGUGGGUGGGACCAACGGGACGCCCCGCCCCGACCUCUCUGGACUAUGAUUGCGCCUGCGCAACUCGAGGCUCUUGGCCCUUCCUAGAACCCGGAGGGAAUGUAUUAUUUCCCAUGAGUGGGGAGACCCUGAGAUUUAGGCCGCAGAAACGAGGCUUGUGGGCGCAGCGGCCUCUGAGGACUCCACUGACGCAGCUGAGCCGGCCUGCGACCCUGGAAAGAGAACCAUCAACAGGCAGGUGGUGGGAGACAGAGGAUCCAGCCUCAAUCACCAGACUGGAAGAAGGAGCCAGGUUCUGCAGAAUUCCAGGCCCCCUUAGCUUCCUGUCUCACCUCCCCCAAAGCCCCGUGUUCCUGUGGACACCAGAGCUCCAAGACCUUUCGUAGAAGCCUGUUCAUGGGGUGACCAGAGCCUGUGAUAACUGCUGACAAGUGGGACCAUGCCGAGCCCUGUUCUGUGUUUUGAGAAGUCGCAGGCCCUGUCACUUCAAAGCUUCAUCUUGUAUUCCACACCCGACUUCACCUUGAGACCCUCUUUGUCUACUCCACAAGUCCAGGGUCACAUCUCAUGGGACAGUGCCAGCCACAUUCAGGACGGUGUUUCCUCCUCAGUUAGAUCUCUCUGCAAACACCUUCACUCAUACCCAGAGGGGCGUGCAUCUGCUAGCUGAUCUCAAUCCAAUCAAGUUGACAAUGAAGGAGAAAUGACUGUGUGGUUCUGCUCAUGAGGCUACGCAAGCAGCUUGGCUGACCUCUAGCUCUGUGGCUGAUGAUUUGGAGGAUAACUGCAAUCUCAUGUGACCUCCAAAACAGCUCCUUCCCUUCAAGACAGCAUUUUAUGUGAGCCCUCCAGUGUCCUUACCGCAUGUGUUUUAAAAUCCUCUCUCUGAAGAUACUCCGUUUAAAUCUGGUCUUUCAGUGCCCAAGAUCCCAGCUUGCUGUGAAUUCUUUGGGUUUCUGGCUCUGCUCUACACUGAUGGCUCUGGAGACUUUGAGGUGAUGAUGCCCUGGGCUGUCCCUCCGGAUAUUCAGCCAUUCAUACCACAGCAGCAGAGCCCUGGCAAGCAGAGUUAGGACAAGGUAAGCAAAACG